UACGUAGGGGGCAAGCGUUGUCCGGAUUUACUGGGCGUAAAGAGCGUGUAGGCGGCCACGCAGGUCCGUUGUGAAAACUGGAGGCUCAACCUCCAGACGUCGACGGAAACCGUAUGGCUAGAGUCCGGAAGAGGAGAGUGGAAUUCCUGGUGUAGCGGUGAAAUGCGCAGAUAUCAGGAAGAACACCAAUGGCGAAGGCAGGUCUCUGGGCAUUAACUGACGCUGAGGAGCGAAAGCAUGGGGAGCGAACAGG
rnacentral:rRNA from 1 species